GAUGAAGAACGUAGCGAAAUGCGAUAAGUAAUGUGAAUUGCAGAAUUCAGUGAAUCGUCGAAUCUUUGAACGCACCUUGCGCCCUUUGGCCAUUCCGAAGGGCAUGCCUGUUUGAGUAUCAUGAACACCUCAACUCUUUAUGGUUUUCCAUGAUGAGCUUGGACUCUGGGGGUUUUGCUGGCUCACAGUCGGCUCCUCUAAAAUGAAUCAGCUUACCAGUGUUUGGUGGGUAUCAUGGGUGUGAUAACUAUCUACGCUUGUGGUUUUUCCACCAGGUAACCUUCAGCAGUGGAGGUUCGCUGGAGCUCAUAGAUGUCUCUCCUCAGUGAGGACAGCCCUUUGAAUGUUUGAUCUCAAAUCAGGUAGGACUACCCGCUGAACUUAAGCAUAUCAAUAAGCGGAGGA
rnacentral:misc_RNA from 1 species